rnacentral:rRNA from 1 species
UAAUACGUAGGGUGCAAGCGUUGUCCGGAAUCAUUGGGCGUAAAGCGCGCGUAGGCGGCCCGAUAAGUCCGCUGUAAAAGUCAACGGCUCAACUGUUGAAAGCCGGUGGAUACUGUCGGGCUAGAGUACGGAAGAGGCAAGCGGAAUUCCUGGUGUAGCGGUGGAAUGCGCAGAUAUCAGGAGGAACACCUAUAGCGAAGGCAGCUUGCUGGGACGUUACUGACGCUAAGGCGCGAAAGCGUGGGGAGCGAACAGGA